UGCCAGCAGCCGCGGUAAUACGGAGGGUGCGAGCGUUAAUCGGAAUUACUGGGCGUAAAGCGCACGUAGGCGGACUUUUAAGUCAGAUGUGAAAUCCCAAGGCUCAACCUUGGAACUGCAUUUGAAACUGGGAGUCUAGAGAUCAGGAGAGGUUAGUGGAAUUCCGAGUGUAGAGGUGAAAUUCGUAGAUAUUCGGAGGAACACCAGUGGCGAAGGCGACCACCUGGUACAGUAUUGACGCUGAGAUGCGAAAGCGUGGGGAGCUAACAGGAUUCGAUA
rnacentral:rRNA from 1 species